rnacentral:pre_miRNA from 1 species
AGUGGGAUAGCUGGGUCAAAUGGUGGUUCCAUUCCAAGUUUUCUGAGGAAUCUCCAUACUGCUUUCCAGGGUGAUGGCACCAAAUUGCUGUUCCACCAGCAAU